CCUCGUACGCCGUCUGCGGGGAGACCAGAGUCUGUCACUCUGGGAAGUGUGGCCAGCCUGCCCUCUCCCUCAAAGAGGGGGCGUCCCCAGACUGAGUGGGGUCUUCCCCUGCCAGAAUAAAGAGCCCUCAUCUACACCUUUAAAUGGCACCUGUUUUUUUCUAUGGAAUGGGCAGAAUCAGUGACCUUCCCAUUGAAACGAAUUUCCUUGUAAGAAGGAGGGAACACAGACUCUAGCAAGUUUUUGGAGAAGGAGUCGAUUUUAUGUGAACUGAGCUGGAAAAAUAAACCUAGCCCAAAAGCACAAGAAUUUCAUUCUGUGAAAUCGGAGAGGAAGGAUGACACCUCGUUUAGUUUCUACAUACAUCAAGAGCUUCGUUCACAAGAGAACUAUCCAGUUCGUAAAGUGGUAUCAUUGAUGAUAAUGUUCUGAUUAGAAAACAUACAUUAAAAUGUUAAGAGCAGACCAAAAAAAUGUACGGAAGAAAAAAGAGAAGCCAUGAACUGGUGAGCCAAAGACUCUUCAAGCCCCCAUCAAGUAGGAAUUCUCAGCCAAGCACUAUUCCCUCAAACCAGUUCUGAAAUACCCAUGUUCAAUCAGGGGUAAAACAUUUUAAUGAAAAAGUAUGUGGAAAAUGUAAUCACGUUGAACAGACAUAACUACGUCAGUGACACAUAUAUUUACUUACUAACUGCACUUAGUAAAUAACAUAUUCAUCAGGCCUCUUCCUGAAGACCUCUGACCAACCCCCACAAGCAAUCAAACUCUUAAAGAGAAGAAACAAACCUUUAUCAGCACCUGCUAUGUGCUGGGAAGGCUAACAAGCUUUUCCUUGCACCACCCUCCUUGGUAGGAGCUAUCCUGCGCCUCUUCCACAGGAAUUAAUAAUUCACCUGAGACACCAGCUAUUUCCCCAAAGGACACAAAACAAGAGGUAGAAUUGGGACAUAAGGUCUGAAGGGUGGCCUCCAUCUGCUACAGAACCAAUAUGGGAACUGAUAGGCAGUUGCAAAAGAGAAAUCCCUAAAGCACUUGUAAUAACUGCAGUAUCACUGGAUCAAGGACACAUCUGAAGAGAACAAGCCUGAUAUAGGAAAGUCAAAGGAUUUCAUAACAAAAGGAGCAGGACUCCAGGCAUGGCAUUGCUAUGAAUGAACGGUGGAAUUCAUGGGGCCACACAGAUUUUGAGACUACAGUUCCGUGUGGUCAAGGUUCUUGCUCAAGUUCACUGAACCAGUCCUGCAGGUCCUGCCAACUUGGAAGCUGUCAAAGGGCAUCAGGGUCAUUUCCUAAGAAGGCACUGGCAGGGGCAGGACCGGAAUGAACCCAUCAUAUUCCCACUGCCCACUUUGCUGCUCUAGCCAAUUACACCAAUAUCAGGGAGGGUCAACAUUUUCCAUGCAAUUUCAAACAUAAGAAAUAGUACCUGAAAGUAAGUUAGGAAUCUGUGACAUAAGAUUAGAGGCAAGACUUACAUCCAGGGCAUCCUGCGUCUCUUGCAUUGAAGGAUUCAUUGCAUGUAGUCGUUCAUAAAUGACAGUGUCAGCACCUUUACAAU